GUCGCUGGGUAUAGACCCGAAACCGGGCGAUCUAUCCAUGGGCAGGUUGAAGGUUAGGUAACACUGACUGGAGGACCGAACAGACUACCGUUGAAAAGUUAGCGGAUGACCUGUGGAUCGGAGUGAAAGGCUAAUCAAGCUCGGAGAUAGCUGGUUCUCCUCGAAAGCUAUUUAGGUAGCGCCUCAUAUGUAUCCUCUCGGGGGUAGAGCACUGUUAUGGCUAGGGGG
rnacentral:rRNA from 1 species